rnacentral:lncRNA from 1 species
UGCUACAGAGGAAUGGUCUUAGCUUGAAAAAACAAACAGGGGUAAGGAAGCAACACAACUGCAAACGUAGGAGCCAUAUGUGUCUCAUCCUCGCACCGCUGGCUCCAGGUAAGUGCAUCUUCUACCUUCUGCUUCUUUUUUUUCUUGCUUCAAUUUCACAGUCGAUUUGGUGUUUAAUUUUUUUGAUAAUCCAUUUGAUUUCCGACUUCCUCUUUUGUGUUUUUUUUAUUUGAUGAUUUGUUGGUCAAGAAUCUACAAGGAAAGGUAGCGAUGUUUCCGUUUGUUCCAUUGUCGUCGUUUGGAUGUGCAACGAAGGUGGUGAGGCCAACGGCAAACCUGACGAAGUUGGUUGGAUGUUUAAUUUUUCGUGUUUCAUGAGCCCUAAUUUAUUUUAUUUUAUUUUUUUGUUUUUAAUUUUUCGCAGUCUUUGAUGUUUCCCUCUCCGAUCCAUUUUUCCCAUCAGAUAUAUCCCCAAAAUCAUCCGUAAUGUUCCCUCGCCACCACGUUCGACGAAACCUCCGUCUUGCUAGAAAGCCUGAUCGGCGGUGCUGCACCAAUCGAGGACACUGAUGGUCACCGUAUUUCU